CGGGGGAGUGUGUUUGUGUGUGGGGGUGGGUGUGAGUGCCCGGCACACACGCACGCACACACACACACACGCACACUCCGGCAGGCUCGUCUGAACUUGAAGACACCCCGCAUUCCAAGAUGCCCGAGGUUCCUGGGAAUGCCCAGGGUUCUGCGCUCCGGAAAAUCCCGCUGGCAUCUUCCUAAGAAGGAAUUAUCUUCUCUUUGCUUUUUUUUUUUUUUUUUUUAAUCUGGAGGAGAGGAGAACAAGUUGUGCUUUCCCCUCCCCUUCUUCCUGGUAAAUGCCAUGGAUAUAUCCGAAUAAGCCGCUCAGGGCUCUCCCCGCGUGGACGUCGGAGGCCACCAUCUGCCCGCAGUCGCCGGAGCCCGAGGGCUUAGUUGGAGCCCGACUUGGGCGAGGGAAGGAUGCGCGGCCGAGCCAGGGAGCCCGGCCGCCCCGCGGAGCCGGCCUCAGAGCCUCCCAGCCGGGGGUAGAUGCUGCCCUGCCCAGGGCCUGCAUCCAGAAGUCUCCCGGCUUUUGUGCUUGUGGCCACUGCCUCUGCUGCCUACCAGUGCCAAGGAUGGAGAGGCCUCGAGUCAAGGAUGCUGAAGGC
rnacentral:lncRNA from 1 species